CUCGUUCGUUGACCUUUAGCUCCAUGGAUGGGCUGCGCGGCGGCGACUCGAUGACGAAGCUCGCACACCCUCAAAAUUCUGCUAUUUUUUGUACAGUGUGCAGCCGGUAUUGACCUUGUAUCCGGCUACAGCGAGGGACUUGGAUACGUGUGACUGCGGCCAUUCUCAUAAUCCAGGUGUGUCUGCUCCUGCUUCUGAAAACUCUAUAGUGGUGCCUGGAUGGAAGAAAAGGUGAUUGUUCAUCGACUCAGAAAAAUAUAAUAAUAAAACUUACUGUGAUAAUCAGUUGAUGUUAAUCAUAUUUUUGUAGCUCCAAACAAUGUGGUGUGUGUGCAACUGAAAAAUAAUGGGUGAUUUGACGAAAACCAUGAAACUCCUGCAAGAAAUGAAGACAAAGGAUACAAAUCUGAAAGUUGAGAUAGAUGUAGACGGAGAUGGUCGUGUCCGUAAUAUGCUCCGUACCAACAAAAGUACUGCACACAUCUAGUUAUGCAUGUCUUAUUUGUCAUAUAUAAUUAACAUUUGAUCUCAUGCUUGGUAUGCCUAUGCAGUAUCCAUAUCUAUUUUUAAGUUUUAGCGACAUUGGUGGAUCAUCACGGCCACCCCAAUUGCCCACCCUUCUUAGUGUCAUGCUCUGCAUCAUGGGCAUGGUACAUAACGUCUCACUUCAGAAACUCCACAGCUAGUGUGCAUCAUGUGCCAGGUACAGAAAGCUAGUGUGCAUCUUGUGCCGGGUACAGGACAUGUGACUGUAUCGUAAUCCGAGUUCAGACAUAACGCCAAGCGUCUCGCAAAUGUGCCAGGUACAUUAUUUUAACCUGAACCCCUAGAUAAUGUGCCAGGCACAUUAUUCUUAAGCUUGGGAGUACCUGCAUGAUGACAGCGAAAUCAGAAACACAAUACAGAUUUCCUUUUGCGAACCCUUUUACUUGCCUACUUUGACCUGCAAAACACAGACAUCAAGUUUAAUCACCAAUUUCCGAACUGCACCCAAAACCAAACAACGAUUUGGGUGUACUGCUCCCAAAUAAACUACUCCAGACAGCAAAAUGGGGAUGCGCAAGCAAAAAAAUAUCACAUAUUCACCUGGGUGGAUCAGGACAAUACCAAACGGCGUGGGAUCUCCCCAGCGGCGGUGCCCCGGCGCGGGAUAGCAUCGGCGGCGAUUCCGGUGCCGCAGGCCCGGACCUGCCGCUGAUUCCCCGCCUCCCCUUGUCCCCUUGUCCCAGCAACUCUCGCCUCCGCUCAGAUCCGUGUUCUCUCCAUGUCCAAUCUGAAAUGAAUCCGCCUCCCCCGGCGCCUAGCAUUCUCCUGUGGAAAGAAUUAAACACUGACUCUUAGCCAAAGAGAUAGUUCAACGCAGAAUGAAAAAAAAUCAAGAAAGCGGAAACAAAUCGCCGCAAGGGAACUAGUAGUAGUGGUCAAUGAGCCCAAUCGAGCCCAAAUCAACAACAACCAGCAAGGAAGCAAUUCAGCGAACACCUGAGCUGCACGCACGCAAGAACGAAUGGAUCAAGCAGCAGAGGAAACGGGACGCAUCGUGGCGGGAUGGAUGGAUGAUGAAUCACCUCUGGUUUCGGCGAGGCAGCGCUGCACGAAGCCGAGGUCGGAGGUGUAGUUGAAGGGCCCGUUCCAGUCCCCCUGCCUGCGCAAAUCACAGCCCGGAUCAAUCACCG
rnacentral:lncRNA from 1 species